rnacentral:rRNA from 1 species
UGGAGCAUCGGUGUGAGGGAUUCGUUAUGGCUCAGAUUGAACGCUGGCGGGAUGCUUUACACAUGCAGGUCAGACGACGGCACGUACUUCGGUCUGGUGGCGGUGGCGAGAACAGGUGAGUAAUGUCGGAACGUGCCUAGUAGCGGGGGAUAACUACGCGAAAGCUGUGUCACCGCAUACGCCCUUCAGGGGAAAGCGGGGGACCUUCGGGCUCGCAUAGAGCAGCCGAUAUCGGAUUAACAGCUUUGGUUGGUGAAGUGUAACAGCUCACCAAGGCGACGAUCCGUAGCUGGUUUUAGAGGACGAUAACCACUGGGACUGAGACACGGCCCAGACUCCUACGGGAGGCAGCAGUGGGGAAUUUUGGACAAUGGGGAAACCUGAUCCAGCCAUCCGCAUGUGCGAUGAAGGCCUUCAGGUUGUAAAAGCACUGCUUGCAGGAAAGAAACGGCACGGGGAUAUGCCCCGUGCAACUGAUAAAUAUAGAGAUAAAGCACAAGCUAACUACGUAUGGCAACCCAUACGUGUAAUGCGGCAGAGGCGCAGCGUUAAUCGGAAUUACUGGGCGUAAAGCGUGCAGGCGGUUCGAAGAUGUGAAAUCCAGAGCUUAACCUGGAACUGCAUUUUUAACUACCAGCUAGAGUGUAUUCAGAGGUGGAAUUCGCUUGAUAGCAGCAGUGAAAUGCGUAUUGAUAUGGAGAAGACACCAGUGGCGAAAGGCAGCCUCCUGGGAUAACACUGACGCUCAUGCGAAAGCGUGGGAGCAAGAGCAGGAUUAGAAUGCCCUGGUAGUCCGCCUAAACGAUGUCAACUGGCUGUUGGGGCCUGGGCUUGGUAGCGCAGCUAACGCGUGAGAUUGACCGCCUGGGAAGUACAGUCGCAAGAUUAAAACUCAAAGGAAUUGACAGGGACCCGCGGCAGUGGAUGAUGUGGAUUAAUUCGAUGCAACGCGAAAACCUUACCUACCCUUGACAUGUCUGGAAUCCCGAAGAGAUUUGGGAGUGCUCGCAGAGAACCGGAACACAGGUGCUGCAUGGCUGUGUCGGCUCAUUCGUGAGAUGUUGGGUUAAGUCGCAACGAAGGCGCAACCCUUGUCAUUAGUUGCCACGAAAGGGCAUCUAGUAAAGGACUGCCAGUGACAAACCGGAAGGUGGGGACAUCGGUCCUCAUGGCCCUUAUGGUGGGAUUCACACACGUCAUGCAAUGGUCGGGACAGGAGGGGUCGCCAACCCGCGAGAGACCAAUCCCAGAAACCCGAUCGUAGUCCAGAUGUAGUCUGCAACUCGACUGCGUGAAGUCGGAAUCGCUAGUAAUCGCGGAUCCAGCAUGUCGCGGUGAAUACGUUCAGGUCUUGUACACCACCGCCCGUCCUUUGUAGGGUGGUUUACCAAGUAGUUAGCCUAACCGUAAGGAGGGCGAUUACCGGUGUAAGUUCAUGACUGGGGUGAAGUCUCAACAAAGUGG